AGCGAACGCUGGCGGCAGGCCUAACACAUGCAAGUCGAACGGACCCUUCGGGGUUAGUGGCGGACGGGUGAGUAACACGUGGGAACAUGCCUUUAGGUUCGGAAUAGUUCCUGGAAACGGGUGGUAAUGCCGAAUGUGCCCUUCGGGGGAAAGAUUUAUCGCCUUUAGAGCGGCCCGCGUCUGAUUAGCUAGUUGGUGAGGUAACGGCUCACCAAGGCGACGAUCAGUAGCUGGUCUGAGAGGAUGACCAGCCACACUGGGACUGAGACACGGCCCAGACUCCUACGGGAGGCAGCAGUGGGGAAUCUUGCGCAAUGGGCGAAAGCCUGACGCAGCCAUGCCGCGUGAAUGAUGAAGGUCUUAGGAUUGUAAAAUUCUUUCACCGGGGACGAUAAUGACGGUACCCGGAGAAGAAGCCCCGGCUAACUUCGUGCCAGCAGCCGCCGUAA
rnacentral:rRNA from 1 species